UGGGGAAUUUUGGACAAUGGGCGCAAGCCUGAUCCAGCAAUGCCGCGUGCAGGAUGAAGGCCUUCGGGUUGUAAACUGCUUUUGUACGGAACGAAACGGCUCUGUCUAAUACAUGGGGCUAAUGACGGUACCGUAAGAAUAAGCCCCGGCUAACUACUUGCCAGCACCCGCGGUAAUACGUAGGGUGCAAGCGUUAAUCGGAAUUACUGGGCGUAAAGCGUGCGCAGGCGGUUAUGCAAGACAGAUGUGAACUCCCCGGGCUCAACCUGGGAACUGAAUUUGUGACUGCGUAGCUGGAGUGCGGAAGAGGGGGAUGGAAUUCCGCGGGUAGCAGUGAAAUGCGUAGAUAUGCGGAGGAACACCGAUGGCGAAGGCAAUCCCCUGGGCAUGCACUGACGCUCAUGCACGAAAGCGUGGGGAGCAAACA
rnacentral:rRNA from 1 species